AUUGCUGGCACCUAAGUGGUGGCUGAGUUGAGGGAUGCAGGCAUGUACACCUUCAUUUGAUCGAUGUGGACAUCUUCGAGCCCCAGGGGAUCAGCAAGCUGGAUGCCCAGGCCUCUUUCCUGCCCAAGGAACUGGCAGCCCAAACUAUCAAGAAGUCCUUCUCAGGAAAAAAGGGUCAUGUGCUGUUCCGUCCCACUGUGAGCCAGCAGCAGUCCUGCCCCACAUGCUCUACAUCCUUACUGAACGGGCAUUUCAAGGUGACCUACGAUGUUAGUCGAGACAAGAUCUGCGACCUCCUGGUGGCCAAUAACCACUUUGCCCACUUCUUCGCCCCCCAAAACCUGACAAACAUGAACAAGAACGUGGUUUUUGUGAUUGACAUCAGUGGCUCCAUGAGAGGCCAGAAAGUGAAGCAGACCAAGGAGGCACUCCUUAAAAUUCUGGGGGACAUGCAGCCAGGGGACUACUUUGACCUGGUUCUUUUUGGGACUCGAGUACAAUCGUGGAAGGGCUCGCUGGUGCAAGCAUCUGAGGCCAACCUACAAGCG
rnacentral:sRNA from 1 species